rnacentral:tRNA from 1 species
CCUUUCUAGAGUAUAGGGACACUAUCUCACAAUGGUGCUCCGGCGAGAACUGCUAAGGAAGCUUAUUUAGUUUUGAGAGAUUGAAUGAAAGAGGGGCUUAUAGCUCAGGUGGUUAGAGCGUACCCCUGAUAAGGGUAAGGUCAGAGGUUCGAGUCCUCUUAAGCCCACCAUGGGGAAUUAGCUCAGCUGGGAGAGCGCCUGCUUUGCACGCAGGAGGUCAGCGGUUCGAUCCCGCUAUUCUCCACCAUUUUUUAAAAAGUGGUAAAAGAUUGUAUCAAGACAUUGUUAGUGAAGAUGAGGACACAAGGUCUAAUAUAAGAACAAUUGCGGUUGUUUUUAUAUUAGACUUUUUAGUCUAAGUUUAUGUUCUAUAGUUUAGAAUACGACGCUUUGCGUUGUACUUUAGGUUUGGUUCUUUAAGAUAGCUUUGCUAUCUGAUGAAAGAACAUAGAGAUGUUAUUUAAUUUAUUAUUGUCAAAGUCAACAAAACGCAAAAAAAACAAUUUACAACUUGUUAGAUGGUUUACAUUUAAUAAGGGAGUGAAAUGUGCAUUAGAAUACAAAUAG